rnacentral:rRNA from 1 species
CAGCCGCCACGGGAAUACGUAGGGUGCGAGCGUUAAUCGGAUUUACUGGGCGUAAAGCGUGCGCAGGCGGCCCGUUAAGACAGGUGUGAAAUCCCUGGGCUCAACCUAGGAAUUGCGCUUGUGACUGGCGGGCUCGAGUACGGUAGAGGGGGGUGGAACUCCUGGUGUAGCAGUGAAAUGCGUAGAGAUCAGGAGGAACACCGAUGGCGAAGGCAGCCCCCUGGGCCUGUACUGAUGCUCAUGCACGAAAGCGUGGGGAGCAAACAGGAUUAGAUACCCCCGUAGUCCCUGUCUCUUAUAC